ensembl:snRNA U6 U6 spliceosomal RNA
GUACUUGCUUUGGUAGCACAUUUUCCAAAAUUGGAAUGAUACAGAGAAGAUUAGCAUGGCUGCUGAACAAACAGGAUGUGAAACAGUCCAUUUUUAA